GGUUCCCUUGAACCUGUUAACUGCCUUUCUUCCUCUUGAAUGCCCCAUCUUUCUCCCACAGAUGGGCUAAGCUAAGCCCUCUGCUGACCUGAGCCUUCCUCUCUGGCUUCCUCCCCAGUCUUGUCAAAGCUCAGAGAGAGUCCUGUGACAACAAGAGAGCAAGAUGGAUGUUGGUUCCUUUGGGAAGACUCGAAGAGUCACAAGGAGUCACAAAAGAGCAAAAGGCAGGAUUUCAUUCGUCCAUCUGGCCAGGAGAUGAGGCCUAACAGCCUUUUGCAGGCCUUCAUUAAUUUGGGUUCCUACACGGCUGCAUGGAGGAGGGCUGCUCUGACAUCCAAGAAACAAGAAAUGAACAAUUGGGGGCGUCUGGCUGGCUCACUUGGAGGCAACGGCAGUCUACCUAAAAGAGGUACCAUCGUGGGCAAGUGGGGUUCUUCUGACUUGUUUUAAAUCAGUAGGUGAUCCUGUGUAAGUAGCUGCACCAUUUUCUCCUUUACAAAAUGUGAAAGGGGAUUGUUUUCCUCCCAGAAGGAGAAGGUAAUACGUAUUUUUCUUUAGAAGUCUCUAAUCUACAAGAAGAGUUAACUGAAGACCAUGCUGAAAUAAAAAGCACUUCAAUUUAAUCCUAUACAGGGUCAAGCUCUUUUGAUUUUUAAGUGAGAACUUGAACCACAGAAGUAAAUAACUAUAGCACAAAAUUUUAAUCCCAUUUAAAUUUUAUCUAAACCCAUUUAAAUUCUACUAAAGCAGGAAGAAGAGGGGCACUUGGCUGGCUCCGUCAGUAGAGCAUUAAACUCUCGAUCUCUGGGUGUUGAGUUCAAGCCACACAUUCCACAGGGCAGGGAGAAGGAUGCAGAGAAGCACAGAGAAUUGUAGGAUUUGGGGACCUUUAUACCUUACACUUGUUUCUUCAUAGCUUUUCUUACAUUUAGUUGAAAUCACCUGUUUACUCACCUGUAUUUCCCUCUAGACCCCGACUGUACCAUAUGGUAACCACUGGCCACGUGGCUUUUGAGCACCUAAAACAUGGCGAAUGCAAUGUUCUAAGUAUAAAAUACACACCAAAUUAGAAAAACCGGAAUCUGAAGAACAUAAACUAUUUUA